rnacentral:rRNA from 1 species
CCUACGGGGGGCAGCAGUGAGGAAUAUUGGUCAAUGGACGAGAGUCUGAACCAGCCAAGUAGCGUGAAGGAUGACUGCCCUAUGGGUUGUAAACUUCUUUUAUAAAGGAAUAAAACGAGGCACGUGUGCCGUUUUGCAUGUACUUUAUGAAUAAGGAUCGGCUAACUCCGUGCCAGCAGCCGCGGUAAUACGGAGGAUCCGAGCGUUAUCCGGAUUUAUUGGGUUGACAGGGAGCGUAGAUGGGUUGUUAAGUCAGUUGGGAAAGUUUGCGGCUCAACCGUAAAAUUGCAAUUGAUACUGGCAGUCUUUCGUUCAGUUGAGGUAAGCGGACUUCGUUGUGUAGCGGUUAUAUGCUUAGAUAUCACG